rnacentral:lncRNA from 10 species
CACUUGGGUCCCCUUGCACAUUGUGGAAGCUUUAUUGUUUCACUCUUUGCAAUAAAUCUUGCUGCUGCUCACUCUUUGGGUCCGCAAUACCUUUAUCAGCUGUAACACUCACUGCGAAGUUCUGCAGCUUCAGUUCUGAGGCCAGUGAAACCACAAACCCACAGGGAGGAAUGAACAGCUCCUGAUGGGAGGAACAAACAACUCCAAAUGUGCCGCCUUAAGAGCUGUAACACUCACCACGAAGGUCUGCAGCUUCACUCCUGAAGCCAGCGAGACCACAAACCCACCAGAAGGAAGAAACUCCGAACACGUCUGAACGUCAGAAGGAACAAACUCCGGACACACCACCUUUAAGAACUGUAACACCGCGAGUGUCCACGGCUUCAUUCUUGAAAUCAGUAAGACCAAGAACCCACAAAUUUGGGACACAAAAGCAUAAAAAUAACUGUUAUAUGUCACAAGUGGAAGACCACUGAGACAGAGGAUCACCAGGAAACAGAGUAAGCGACCAGAAAGAACCAUGGAAGUUUGUCAAAUACAGACACGGCUGAAGUCAAGACAUACCAUGCUGUCAAUCCUGCAUCAAGCUGUCAUAUCGUCUAAUAACAGAAAUCAGAGAGAAGUACCAGGAUCAUAAUUACAGAGAGAAGUUUGACCAAAUCCCUUUCUGUAAAAAUGUUAAAUAUAAAUAUAUGUCUUCUAUGUUUUUGUCCUAACCCUAAAUACUAAAUAUUUACUGGGAAGUCUCUUAAUCUGUGAAAGACUGCAUUCAUUUACAUUAAAUAAAAUAUGGGAAUUGCUAAAUUUUAAAUUCAGUAUUCCCUAUGAAAAACUAAACUUAGGAAAAGUAAAUUUUUUAUGAAUUUUGCCACAACUGCUCAUUUGGGGAAUAAAAAUCAGAACUCUGAAAUUUUAGCUUUAAAAACCAAUAUUGUCUUUGAAAGCUAAUGAUCAAGUGAUGAUUUUGUUUUCUAGCCAUUUAAUAAUAACCUUGGCGUUCUUUUUCGGGUUCAUAUGCCUUGCACAAUCUUUGACCAAAACCAAAAUUCUCACCUACUUUCUAUGUAAUAAAUCAUUAGGAAUUAUGAAAAAGAGAGAAAAGAAUUAACGUUAUCCAAGUUUAUAACUAUUGGAUGGGCAUUCUGCUAGAAUGCUUCUUAUGCUUUAUGCUUCUUAUCAUAUUAAUGCUCCAGUAUUAUAUACGAUAGAAAAUAAAAGUUAAUCUAGUAAUAUAUAAUGUUAAAUUCAACUAAAUUUGGCCUGAGGAUGUCUCCAAACGUGUGUUCUUCCUUAAACAACUGGGCUGGAACUUAGUACAUAAGCUAACUAAAAGCCUAACCUAGGAGUGCAAUUUUGUAACAAAUAGCUGAAUCUCAGCCAAUCAUAGCAGCCGAGCUUUAGUCAAUUGCAAGCUGCCAAUUGUUCAAACCUGCUCAAAUAAGACAAAGGCUGCUGUAACCAACUGAGCUGUCUUGGUAUGUCACUUCUGUUUUCUGUGUUCUGUCCAUAAAUGCUGUCUGAUCACAUGGCAGACUGGAGUUCUUUGAACCUGUUCUGGUUCUGAGGGCUGCCAGAUUCUAGAGGCAUGAAUAAAAAUAAAUUAAGACUGUUAAACUGAAUUUGUGGUAAUUUUGUCUUGUAAAGUAAUAAUGGUAUUUUUUAAAUGGUUUGAAAAAAAUUAAAGAGUUUCACCCUAGAUUUCUAAAAUGCGGUCUCUCAGCA